UACGUAGGGCGCAAGCGUUAUCCGGAAUUAUUGGGCGUAAAGAGCUCGUAGGCGGUUUGUCGCGUCUGCUGUGAAAGACCGGGGCUCAACUCCGGUUCUGCAGUGGGUACGGGCAGACUAGAGUGCAGUAGGGGAGACUGGAAUUCCUGGUGUAGCGGUGAAAUGCGCAGAUAUCAGGAGGAUCACCGAUGGCGAAGGCAGGUCUCUGGGCUGUAACUGACGUGGAGGAGCGAAAGCAUGGGGAGCGAACAGG
rnacentral:rRNA from 1 species